UUCCCUGUUUGCUCUGUUUUUCGGGCUGGGAAAAAAAUUGAAGAAAGAACAGAGGACAACAGAGGGAGAGAGAGAACAUACGAGAGAGAGAGCAUACGAGAGCGAGCUAGAGGAAGAUGGGUUCAGAGGGGGCCUCUAGGGGGAAGAAACGAGCAUAGAGCUCGUAAUAGAGCGGAGCCUAGGAGGAGGAAGGAAUAAUCGAGUGGAUAAUUGGGAUAUGGCAGCAGAUUGAGAGUUGAGCGAGUAGGGGGAAAUGGGGGAGCACUAGAGAGGAAGAGUUUAAGCUUAUAAUUGGGGGCUGAGGACAGCAAUAUUAUGCAUCCUGAAAGUCAAGUUUGAUGAAUCAUUUUGGGUGUUCGAUAAGCUUCCGAUUGCACGGAGGAACCACUUUUUGAUAUCGGGGAUCAGCUUGGAGGACUAGGUAGAAGUCUUAGUUAUUUGAUAAGUAUUCUCCUUGUACAUAAUGUAUUUGAACAUGUUACGACCUGAAAUUUUUGUUUAGUUGGUUAGUGAUGUGGUUGAGAAAAGUUACUCCCUUUUGAGAUAGAUAUAUAUAUAUAUGUGUGUGUGUGUAUAUUAGAUAUUGCUGGAUUGGUUAUAUAUUUUUGAGAGUUAUGGAAAGCAAAUUUUAUAGGAAUA